rnacentral:rRNA from 1 species
UACGUAGGGCGCAAGCGUUGUCCGGAAUUAUUGGGCGUAAAGAGCUCGUAGGCGGUUUGUCGCGUCUGCUGUGAAAACCUAAGGCUCAACCUUGGGCUUGCAGUGGGUACGGGCAGACUAGAGUGCGGUAGGGGUGACUGGAAUUCCUGGUGUAGCGGUGGAAUGCGCAGAUAUCAGGAGGAACACCGGUGGCGAAGGCGGCC